rnacentral:lncRNA from 1 species
AUUGAUACUCAAGAGGCAGGAGACAAAUUUGAACCAAUGUUAUCAUUUCCCCAUUUUGAGGGGAAGAACAGAAAGCAAGUGAAGCUGUUUGUAACUGAUACAAAGAAAGCAGACAAAUGUGCAUUUCUACUGCCAGUCAUGCCAGGGGAAGCAAGAACCUCCUCCCUGCCAGCCCACCUCAGCUGCUCAUCAGCACCUAGCAUAGGAAUUUCUGCCUUCCUCGAACUCCCUUCCAUCAAGACAAAUGGCAUGAAGCAGCCCACCUCAUUCUACCUAAACUGGAAGGACUGCUCACUGUCACUGUUCAGAUGACAAAAUCUGGCACAGCUUGGUCAUCAGUCAGAAGCUGUCUUUCUGCAAUCGUAGACCAGAGGUGAUAAUUUUGUGGCAAAAAGAAG